UAGGACUGCACGCGUCGGUAGAUAGCAGUGGGACUAGAGCACAUACCGGGCCCGGUACCAAAGGAUACACCCACCACGUAAAUUAAUUUUCAUUGUAGCCUGUCGGUUGGGUUAUGGAACGUAUAAUUCCGCUUUCAUGACGUUCCUAAUCUUUGGUAUGGAAUUGCAUCACAUGUCAAGGUUGGUUUCAAAACAUCAGGAUUUGAAGAAGUUGCAAUGAAGGACAUGUGUUUCCAGCGUUAUCACACAAAAUGCCCAGAGGUGGCCAUAUUUUAUGAUCUUAAUGGUGAUCUGAACAAGAAUCUGCUGGUGCCAGGCCCAUUCUAGAAACGCACCUCCACUCCCUAUCCUCCAUCUGGGAAGUGCACCAUGUGUCUCCAGGAUGAUUAUUCUUAUGCUUUGUGCAGAAGUGUGUCAGAGAGCCUCCAGCCUGCCCUGGAGGCCAAUAGCACAGCCGUUACCAACUAUAAACAAACCAGUGAGUGUCUCUGAAGGCCCAAGAUAGUACAAUGUGUAAGAAAUG